CACUAUACUCUAUUUCAGAAGUGUGUAGAGCAAUAAAACCUCAUUAGGUAUGCAAAAGUGGUACCUGGUGAUCCACCAAUAUUUUAUGCCACUACCUUAGUUGGGUAUUAGUUUCAAUGUAAAAUUCUUUCUUUUCGUUGAUUGCAGGUAGUGCCACCCGGUUUUGGGUCAAUUUAUGAGUUUUGCCCAUUGUUACCCACUGAUAAACAUUGAAAACGGUUCGCCAAAGGCGUGCAACUGGGACUUGUUUUUUACCUUAUAAUUAAUGUACUUAAAUGCUAUUUUAUUUUAGAAAGUUACUUUUGUUUAAAUGGAAUAAUAUAUUUUUAUCACAAAUUUAUUGAACAUAAUAUGUAGAGUAAAACAGUUGAAAAUGUCACUUUUGGAUCUGGCACUUUUUGAACAGUGUAUAACAAUUUUAAAUUAUAAUAGAUUGUAGUCUUCUUCGUCAUCUGACGAACUGUCAUCACCUCUUGACAUUAUAAUUAAAGGAUCGACUGUCUGAUCGAUGAGGUUGUCAAGAUCCCACAUUUUGUCCUCUUGCUUAAUUACAUGCUGGACUGCUGGCGAAUGGAAUGCUGGAUUCUCUGGUGUCGCUUCCGUAAUGGCUUGAUCAAACAGUAGCUUAACAUCUUUCAUUUUAAAAGUCGUGUUUUGUCUUGCUACAAAUCCAUAUCAGUUCUAUAGGAUUUAGUUCGCAAUGAUAUGGCGCACGGACUGAAGCGCGCCGAAGGCAAGAUCGAAGCGUGUAGUUGUGCAUCAGUUGUCAGUCGGCGAUUAGCAAAAGUGCGGCGAUACCAAUUUUGAGUUGGAAAAAGAGAGACGUGCGUAAUCACAUCAGUUUCAUGUCAGUUUCGUUGGUAAAAGCAUCCCAGUAGGAAGUGUAUUUUGUUUUUUUUUAAAUAUAACAUGAACAUGGCACCUCCUCAGUCAGUUGAUUUUAUAACAGAGUUUAUUGAAAUUUAUAGAGGUUAUCCAUGCCUAUGGAAAAUAAAAAGUGCGGAAUACGCUAAUAAGCAUUUGAGGCAAAAGGCUAUCGAAAAAUUAAUUAAAUUCUGCCAGACGGUUAUACCCGAUGCAAAUAAGGAAUAUGUUACAAAAAAAAUUAAUAAUCUUAGAAGCGCUUUCCGAAAGGAAUUAAAAAAAGUUCGAGACAGUACUCGUUCUGCUGAUCAAGAGGAAAGUCGUGAAACUGUUGAAAACAUUAUAGUGGACGAGGAUAAAAUUACGCAACCAGGUGAAACUCAGAUUUACUCGGCAAGUAUCAGUGACACGACAGAACUAACAAAAGAUAAUGAAACACAAGCUACAGAUUCUGAAAAUUUAAAUCCGUUGUCUCCGCCCUUGGCGAAAAAAAGGAAAUUACCAACUCCGAUUCUUACAAAAAGCAAAGCUAAAACUCCAGUUAAAGACCAUUUUUAUAAGGAGGCAUUAAAUGUUCUAAGCAAAACAGAAGACGAAUAUGAUCAUUAUGGGAUAUCCAUAGCCGCGAAAUUAAGGAAAAUGGACCCACAAUAAAGAAUAUUUUGUGAAAACUUAAUAAAUACGGCAGUUUUUAAAGGU